rnacentral:rRNA from 1 species
GAUGAACGCUGGCGGCGUGCCUAAUACAUGCAAGUCGAGCGAACUGAUUAGAAGCUUGCUUCUAUGACGUUAGCGGCGGACGGGUGAGUAACACGUGGGCAACCUGCCUGUAAGACUGGGAUAACUUCGGGAAACCGAAGCUAAUACCGGAUAGGAUCUUCUCCUUCAUGGGAGACGAUUGAAAGAUGGUUUCGGCUAUCACUUACAGAUGGGCCCGCGGUGCAUUAGCUAGUUGGUGAGGUAACGGCUCACCAAGGCAACGAUGCAUAGCCGACCUGAGAGGGUGAUCGGCCACACUGGGACUGAGACACGGCCCAGACUCCUACGGGAGGCAGCAGUAGGGAAUCUUCCGCAAUAGACGAAAGUCUGACGGAGCAACGCCGCGUGAGUGAUGAAGGCUUUCGGGUCGUAAAACUCUGUUGUUAGGGAAGAACAAGUACGAGAGUAACUGCUCGUACCUUGACGGUACCUAACCAGAAAGCCACGGCUAACUACGUGCCAGCCGCCGCGGUAA